rnacentral:rRNA from 1 species
GUAGGUGGCAAGCGUUGUCCGGAAUUAUUAGGCGUAAAGCGCGCGCAGGCGGUUCUUUAAGUCUGAUGUGAAAGCCCACGGCUCAACCGUGGAGGGUCAUUGGAAACUGGAGAACUUGAGUACAGAAGAGGAAAGCGGAAUUCCACGUGUAGCGGUGAAAUGCGUAGAGAUGUGGAGGAACACCAGUGGCGAAGGCGGCUUUCUGGUCUGUAACUGACGCUGAGGCGCGAAAGCGUGGGGAGCAAACAGGAUUAGAUACCCUGGUAGUCCACGCCGUAAACGAUGAGUGCUAAGUGUUAGGGGGGUUUCCGCCCCCCUUAGUGCUGCAGCUAACGCAUUAAGCACUCCGCCUGGGAGUACGGCCGCAAGGCUG